rnacentral:rRNA from 1 species
AACGAACGCUGGCGGCAUGCCUAACACAUGCAAGUCGAACGGGAUCCGGACUUCGGUCCGGUGAGAGUGGCGGACGGGUGAGUAACACGUGGGAACCUGCCUUUUGGUUCGGGAUAACCGCGGGAAACUGCGGCUAAUACCGAAUGCCCUCGAGAGAGGAAAGAUUUAUCGCCAGAAGAGGAGCCCGCGUCCGAUUAGGUAGUUGGUGGGGUAAAGGCCUACCAAGCCGACGAUCGGUAGCUGGUCUGAGAGGAUGAUCAGCCACACUGGGACUGAGAUACGGCCCAGACUCCUACGGGAGGCAGCAGUGGGGAAUAUUGGACAAUGGGGGCAACCCUGAUCCAGCAAUGCCGCGUGAGUGAUGAAGGCCUUAGGGUUGUAAAGCUCUUUUGCCAGGGAAGAUGAUGACUGUACCUGGAGAAUAAGCCCCGGCUAACUUCGUGCCAGCAGCCGCGGUAAU